GCCACCCUAGCUCAGUUGGUAGAGCAACGCAUUCGUAAUGCGUGGGUCGGGGGUUCGAGUCCCCUGGGUGGCU
rnacentral:tRNA from 1 species